rnacentral:rRNA from 1 species
UACGUGGAGGGGCAAGCGUUGUCCGGAUUUAUUGGGCGUAAAGAGCGUGUAGGCGGCUAGGUAGGUCCGUUGUGAAAACUCGAGGCUCAACCUCGAGACGCCGAUGGAAACCAUCUGGCUAGAGUCCGGAAGAGGAGAGUAGAAUUCCUGGUGUAGCGGUGAAAUGCGCAGAUAUCAGGAAGAACACCCGUGGCGAAGGCGGCUCUCUGGAACGCAACUGACGCUGAGACGCGAAAGCGUGGGGAGCAAACAGG